UGGGGAAUCAUGGUCAAUGGGCGCAAGCCUGACCCAGCAACGCCGCGUGAGGGAAGAAGGUCUUCGGAUUGUAAACCUCUGUCCUUGGGGACGAAAAAAAUGACGGUACCCAAGGAGGAAGCUCCGGCUAACUACGUGCCAGCAGCCGCGGUAAUACGUAGGGAGCGAGCGUUGUCCGGAAUUACUGGGCGUAAAGGGUGCGUAGGCGGCAUGGCAAGUCAGAUGUGAAAUCCCCGGGCUUAACUCGGGGGGUGCAUUUGAAACUACCUUGCUUGAGUGCAGGAGAGGAAAGCGGGAUUCCUAGUGUAGCGGUGAAAUGCGUAGAUAUUAGGAAGAACACCAGUGGCGAAGGCGGCUUUCUGGACUGUAACUGACGCUGAGGCACGAAAGCGUGGGGAGCAAACA
rnacentral:rRNA from 1 species